rnacentral:lncRNA from 1 species
UGAGCUCUCCCCUAUUGUUGGUAUCGAAAACUAUCCAUCAUCAUGUGUCUUCUUUGGAAGUUUUUCUCGACAUAUGUGAAAAGGAUGCCACCAAUUUGCAGUCAAAGGCAGAACAAGCGAGGGACAUAUUUUCACUAGAAGAUGAUGUCUUGAGUUUGGUAGGACUCGAUAUGGAACUCCACAUAGAAGAUGAAUGGAGAGAAUGAGGUGAUCCCUAAACUCCUAGCCGUACUCAUUAAAAUGUUAAUUGCAUAAAGUUAUUUUCUGCUUUUACUUUCAUUGUAACUGAGUGAAUGUUAAGUAAGACUUUCCUUACAUAACGUAGUUAUGGUUUUGAAUAUACAAUUUCAAGUUCAUUGACAUAAAACUCUUUUUGGAAAGAGGGACACAAAUAUGACAUAAAACUCUUUUUAUAACGUGUAUCAGUGAAGAGGUUUCCAUUGCUAAUAGAUAUACAUAUCCAGGAGUGGUAUUCAUUGUUGAGAUGGAUUCAUUUGUUGAGAAUUAAAACUGAUAUGGAAUAAUAGUGGGAAGACCAGGAAAUACAGGACAUUGAGAGGUAGCAUGAUAGAAACCAGAAGUAGACAAAUAAUAUGGAAGGAAACAACUACAGCAGCGUAAAGAAGAGUUGAGGUUGUAUUGGAAACUAAGAAGAUUUAGGGUGUGCAGACGACAAAGAAAAGUUCUAAAAUUGGGGUAAGUAUGGUGGAUGAUGGAGGAAGAUGCCAGUUUAAGGAAUACCUGCAAGAUAUCCUUAAAUAAGUGGUUUUCUUUUCCAGUCAUGCAACAUAUAUCAAAGGGUGCUCCCCAUCGCCAGGAUAUUAUACAGAUAGGUAGUUUUGAGGAUUUGAUUUAGUAAUACCUAGCAAACCAAUCAUAAGCCUUAGAUCUUACACAUCACUGUGUUCAUUGCGCAAGCCUCAUGAAGGCUCAGGCUCAGACUCAUGAAGCCUCAUGUAUUUGUGGCUGGAUUAGCUGCUGUUCAUUGUAUAGAGUUGUCCAUCAUAGACUUUUUAUAUUUUUUGGAUUUUUCUAGAAGACUUUUGGUUUAAUUCCAGCAGGAGUUUUCCAGAAGACUCUUGGAUUUCUCCAGCAAUCUAUUUAGUGUUUUUUUAGACUCUUGGAUUUUCCAUGCCUGUUACCUGUUAUGAGUCCAUACCUUUGGAAUUUGGUUUUGAAUUUCUCACCCGAUUACUAUGUAACUUAUAUUUCUUUCUUCAACAGUGAACAACAAGAGAAGAGGCUGCAUUCCAAAAGCAACUACAGCAAUUACAAGACAAAGAAGCAAUGAGUCUCACAUUUUAACUGAGCUGCAGCGAUUGAAAUCCAGUUUGUCCAUUCUAUGAAAACUGAAUAUAGUAGAUAGUCACUUUUCCUUUAUACGAAUGUUACGC